rnacentral:lncRNA from 1 species
UCUUAUCAUCUCAAAGAUAAUCUCUUCUCGAAUUUACAUCGACUAACUUACAGCUCGAUCUAACCUUACUCGAAUAUGGGUUGUAACACCCUCUCAUCCUUAGGAACAUUCAUCCUCGAAUAUAAGGGUUUAUGAGGAGUCUAACUCAUCGUGGAUUCUAAAGGAAAUUUUCGGCCAAGUGUCCCCUAUAAAUUGGAUACUAGACAAACUUGCAAGUAGUUUAACACAACCUAUGGCCUCACAAUAAAGCCAUAAAGGGUAGCAUGAGC